rnacentral:rRNA from 1 species
AUUGAACGCUGGCGGAAGGCCUAACACAUGCAAGUCGCGCGAGCGGCGGACUGAUGAGUCAUGGCUGGGGAACUGCCUGAUGGAGGGGGAUAACUACUGGAAACGGUAGCUAAUACAGCAUACCAUCAGAUGUGCCCCGAUGGGAUUAGCUAGUAGGUGGGGUAACGGCUCACCUAGGCGACGAUCCCUAGCUGGUCGGAGAGGAUGACCAGCCACACUGGAACUGAGACACGGUCCAGACUCCUACGGGAGGUAGCAGUGGGGAAUAUUGCACAAUGGGCGCAAGCCUGAUGCAGCCAUGCCGCGUGUGUGAAGAAGGCCUUCGGGUUGUAAAGCACUUUCAGCGAGGAGGCGUUACUCGCAGAAGAAGCACCGGCUAACUCCGUGCCAGCAGCCGCGGUAAUUC